rnacentral:rRNA from 1 species
UACGUAGGGUGCGAGCAUUAAUCGGAUUUAUUGGGCGUAAAGGACGCGUAGGCGGACUGUUAAGUCAGAUGUGAAAGCCCGGAGCUCAACUCCGGAACAGCAUUUGAAACUAGCAGUCUCGAGGGUAGACGGAGAAAACGGAAUUCCACAUGUAGCGGUGAAAUGCGUAGAUAUGUGGAAGAACACCAGUGGCGAAGGCGGUUUUCUAGUUUAUACCUGACGCUGAGGCGUGAAAGCAAGGGGAUCAAAC